AGAGCGAACGCUGGCGGCAGGCUUAACACAUGCAAGUCGAGCGGGCGUAGCAAUACGUCAGCGGCAGACGGGUGAGUAACGCGUGGGAACGUACCUUUUGGUUCGGAACAACCCCAGGGAAACUUGGGCUAAUACCGGAUAAGCCCUUACGGGGAAAGAUUUAUCGCCGAAAGAUCGGCCCGCGUCUGAUUAGCUAGUUGGUGAGGUAAUGGCUCACCAAGGCGACGAUCAGUAGCUGGUCUGAGAGGAUGAUCAGCCACAUUGGGACUGAGACACGGCCCAAACUCCUACGGGAGGCAGCAGUGGGGAAUAUGGACAAUGGGCGCAAGCCUGAUCCAGCCAUGCCGCGUGAGUGAUGAAGGCCCUAGGGUUGUAAAGCUCUUUUGUGCGGGAAGAUAAUGACGGUACCGCAAGAAUAAGCCCCGGCUAACUUCGCGCCAGCAGCCGC
rnacentral:rRNA from 1 species